rnacentral:rRNA from 1 species
AGCGAACGCUGGCGGCAGGCCUAACACAUGCAAGUCGAACGAACCCUUCGGGGUUAGUGGCGGACGGGUGAGUAACACGUGGGAAUGUGCCUUUAGGUUCGGAAUAACUCAGGGAAACUUGUGCUAAUACCGAAUGUGCCCUUCGGGGGAAAGAUUUAUCGCCUUUAGAGCGGCCCGCGUCUGAUUAGCUAGUUGGUGAGGUAAAGGCUCACCAAGGCCACGAUCAGUAGCUGGUCUGAGAGGAUGACCAGCCACAUUGGGACUGAGACACGGCCCAAACUCCUACGGGAGGCAGCAGUGGGGAAUCUUGCGCAAUGGGCGAAAGCCUGACGCAGCCAUGCCGCGUGGAUGAUGAAGGUCUUAGGAUUGUAAAAUCCUUUCACCGGUGAAGAUAAUGACUGUAGCCGGAGAAGAAGCCCCGGCUAACUUCGUGCCAGCCGCCGCCGUAACAC